rnacentral:lncRNA from 1 species
CUUGUGUUUGUGGGAGUUCUCACAUUUUCUACUAGCGAGCUUUUUACACAAUGACCUAAAACCCCUCUUAAUUGGCCACUGCCCAUAAAUCAGUAAAACUGCACAAUUUUGAGCAUUACUUUAGUCCAUUUAUUAAAAUUCCAAUUACACAGUUUGGAUAAGGGAGUAUUGUUAGGGAUUACUUUUAUUUGAGUCAGCAAUUUGCAUGAUGUCUGCUGGAAAAUCAACAGAGGGUAUCAGAUCACAUGAAUUGGUUUCUUAGAAAGGGCAGAAAUAUGUCCUUAUCAUGGUCAUUCCUGCCAUGAGUUCCUCUAGUCUCCAAACUUUGAAUUGGGGCCCUCUGUGAACUCUCUUUACUGUCUACUCUUUACUUAAGAUAGCUUGAAGCAUCCAUAUAACCAGGAAACUAAAGUCUGUAAGAGAACAAUGAACACACACAAGUAGGCUAUUACUCCAGAUCCUCCUUGAUUUUUCCUAACUUACUCCUGCUUUAGUGGAGUUAUUCAGAUGGUUUCAAAUCUAAACUUCAACUUUUUCCUCUAUGAUGUUGCAUUUGGAUUAAGACAAUCAGCUUUUUUCUUCUCAUAGAUGGCCUCGAAUCAUUUGGCUACAAUAGCUAUCUUUUGGGACUCUUCUUCCAGUCAUGGCCACAUUCUUCUUGCAGAUGAGCUGGUGGGUUACCACAAUACUGUCUGCUGACUGGUGCCUUUUAUUUGAUAUCUCAGGGCUUAUGAUACUCCAGAGUGCAUCCACCAUGUCACAGAAAAAUCCUGAAGGACAAGGAUUUCUCAGGCCCUUUACUCUUCUAGAUGCUUAGUGCUCUUCCAGAAUUUUCAAAGCUUCAAUACUGUCAUAAUACAUGAUCAUCACUGAUUUGUAUUUAUCCAUGAAUAAUGCAGAAAGCAUAAAUAAUCACGAUUUUAAUCAUUGAGAUAAUGCACCCUAGGCAUAGUCAAAAGGGCAACGAGUGCCAAACUCCUUUGACACAUUUGAGUAAGGAUUUAUAUAUUCAUAAUCACCAUCUACGUCUGUCAAGCUUCCAGUUUGCCAGUUAUUAAUAAUUGGAUGAAUGCUGAUGUACCGUUUAAACAAAAGCAAUUUCCUAGAAGACCCUCCCCAUUCCAGGAGAUGCAGUGAGGUACUAGCAGUGAUAUAUGCCUCUACUAAUAUCUCCUCUGUCCACUGCUGCUCUAACAGGAAAGCAGGAGAAGAGGCUGGGUGACUCAGUUUUCUCAUGUGAUGUAUUAAGCCUCAUUCCAGGCUACAGGUUUCUAACGACCCACAUGUAAGUCAGCUGAAUAAGAAAAUUCUUAUGUUCACACUCCUUUCAGCCACUGAUAUUUUUAAGUCAAAAAAGCAAAGAUGGAGCACUUAACUAUCAUUUCUUCUUGUGGCUAAGAUUACUGUUUACAAACGGGAAAUGUUCAAUUUCUCUGACUACUGAAACAGAAAGUUACAAAGUUUGACAGGUGGAGCUUCAAAAUUGUUUCAUAAAUACAUAACUUCUUUCUCCUUAGAAGUUAGCAGAGGGUGACAGGGACAUCAGCAAGUGAGUUUUUCAGUGACUCUAACUAGUGCCAUUUUUCCUUAUCUUUCAGAAUACUUCAUCUUCUCAAUUCUUCACGAGAUUAUAACAUCCUGAAGUUCAGUCUUUGCAGAGUUUUUUCUGACAUAUCUUUUUAUUCAGGCAAGACAAUGAUAGCUGCAUUUCUGAAGACUGCUGUGGAAGAAGUAUCCAGUGAGGGUUCACAGGUUUGGAUCCCAGGUGGAGACCUACACACCACUUGUCAAGCGACGAUCUGGUGUCAUGCCACAUACAAAAAAUAGGGGAAGAUUGGCACAGAUGUAAACUCAGUAACAAUCUUCCUCAAGCAAAAGAGAAGAAAACUGGCAGCAGAUGUUAGCAAGGGCCGAUCUUCCCCACCAAAAAUAAAUUAUUUAAUUAAUUAAAAAGAGUGUGCUGUUUAAUUUCCACAUAGUCAUGAAUUUUCCAGUUUUCUUUCUGCUACUGAUUUCUAAUUUUAUUCCAUUUUGAUUGGAAAAGAUACUUUACAUGAUUCAAACUUUUAAAAUGUAUUAAUGCUUGAUUUGUGGUCUAACUUAUGAUGUAUUCUGGAUAACGUUCCAGGUGCACUUGAGAAAAAUAUGUAUUUUGCUAUUGUUUGGUGGAGUGUUCUGUAUGUAUUUCUUAGGUCUAAUUUUCAAGAUCUCUAUUUUCUUAUUGAUCUUCUUUCUGGUAGCUUAAUUCAUUAUUGAAAAUUGUGUACCAAAGUCUGCUACUGUUAUUGUGGAGGUGUCUCCUUCUCCCUUCAAUGCUGUCAAUGUUUGCUUCCUAUAUAUAGGAGUUCUGUUGUUUGGAGCAUAUAUGUUUAUAAUUGUUAUAUGUUCUUGGUAAAUUGACCCUUUUAUCGUUAUACAACAUCUUCCUUUUUCUCUUAUAACAGCUUUCAUUUUAAACUUCAUUUUGUCUGAUAUAGCCACCUCUGCUUUCUUUUGGUUAUUGUUUGUAUGGAAUAUCUUUUUCCAUUCUUUGUUUGCAACCUAAAUUGGGUCUCUUAUAGACAGCAUUUAGUUGGAUCCUGGUUUUUUUUUUCAUUCUACCAAUAAUAUUUUUUGAUUGUUUAAUCCAUUUUAUUCCACCCAUUAGUUUAAUCUGUUCAUAUUUAAAGUAAUUAAUGAUAUGGAAAAACUUACAAUUGCUAGUUUAUUUGUUUUCUAUAUGUCUUAAAGCUUUUUUGUACCUCAUUUCCUCCCUUAUCACCAUCCUUUGUGUUUAGAUGAUUUUUUGUAGUGAUAUAUUUUGAUUCUUUUCCCAUUUCUUUUUGUAUAUAUUCAAUAGUUAUUUUGUGGUUGCCAUGGGGAUUACAGGAAACAUCUCAAAGUUAUAGCAAUCUACUUUCAACUGAUAACAACUUAACUUCAAUCACAUACAAAAAUUUUACUCCUUUAGAGCUCUAACUCACUCAUAUUUUGUUAUUGAUGUCACAAAUUAUAUCCUAACA